UCUCUGUUCGUAUAUCGGUUAGUACACGCGCCUGUCAUCUAUCUCUGAUCGCGCGAAAGCUGGGUUCGAUUCCCAGACAGAGAG